UUUGGUUUCUUGCUUCCAUAAAGAGCAAGUGGUGCGGAUGGGACUCUCUCCCGCCUGGUUUCCAAUUUCCAGUCAAAGAAUUGGUGGCGAGCCUGAAU
ncrna:unclassified sequences wcaG RNA